rnacentral:misc_RNA from 1 species
UUGAUUAUUUUAUAAUACUCAGACAUCACUAAACAAAAGAGUUAGGGUCCUCUGGCAGGCACGGUCAGCCGGAGCCAACGCCGAAGCGGCGGCCCGCCAAAGCAACAAAGGUAUGUAUUCAAGGGUGGGAGAUCUACCCGUGAGGGCAUGAACUCUGUAAUGAUCCUUCCGCAGGUUCACCUACGGAAA